AUAAGAGAAGAGAAAAGAAAUAAAGAAUGGGAGAAAACAAAAGAAAACCCUUUUCCCACUCGUCCUGGCCGUCGACCCAUUUAUCAGGCACGGGGGCGUUCUGCUCCAUGGGCCCCGCCCGUCAGUCAGCCACAAACUCUCUAUCUUCUCCCCUCGGCAACUGCUUCUCUCGCCACGGCAUCUACAACAACAACCUUCCCCACGAUCUCGCGAGAAGCUCGUAGAAACUGCAGCCCGGACAUCCAUUCUCUUACCCAUCCACUUCCUGCACAACAGCCAUACAAUGCUCGUUGCCGUGCCAUCGUCUCUGCGUGGAGGUUGCCAUGCCGUCGUCGCUGCAUGGAGGUUGCCGUGCCGUCGUCGCUGCAUGGAGGAGACAACGACACGCACGAUGCUGUUUGCCGUUGGACUCCCACGCCCGGCGCCCACCCAGUUCCACCUCGUUGUCGUCCGUGCCGAGGUUCUUCAAAUUCUACAAAGUUGAAGACCCUGAGCAUCUGUUUGGUGAAGGUUGCCUUUGGUGCAAUCUAUGCUCAAGUAAAGAAGAAGGCGUCGAGGCGGAUCUCCAGGAGUUCCAGGACUUCGACGAGUUCGAGGAUUAGGCUAGCGACCACCCCCAGUCAGCUGCCUGUGGUGG
rnacentral:misc_RNA from 1 species